rnacentral:lncRNA from 12 species
AUUUAAGUUGCUUGACCUCCACUUAACCACAUGUCUUCACCACCAUACAAAUUGUACUAUUGUACCUCCUGCUUGCUAGCAGGUGGUCAUCAAAUUCCAUUUCAACUGCCACCAACGUUUAUCCUGUAGCUAAUUCUCCAUCUGCAAUCUUCUCAUGCAGGACAUAGAGGAGAACACUACUAUAAGAUGUUGAGUCAGUCCAUAUGAGGGGUAAGGCCUGAAUGAAAGUGGUGGCAGUGAGCUUGGAGCAAAAAGACUGGUAAAAAAUAUGUCCACAUCUUUAUCAAUGAGAUGUAUGGGAUUGACCCGGUGCUGGAGGCAAAGGAGAGAACAGUUGCAAAGUAAAAGCCAGUCCAUGAGAAACCAAUCACUACUGCUGAAAUAUUAAGAAUGGUCCUGGACUUUGAAGCUGAGGAAAAGCCUUGUCAUCCUAUGGGACUCUGCCCUGUGGCUACUCAGCCCCCUACGUGAUAUCGCUAUCAUCUUUGAUCUAAAACAACAUCUUCAUCAACGCAGAUAUUCAUGAAAUUAUACAAAAGAGGAAUAGCAGUGAAUAAAAGAG